rnacentral:rRNA from 1 species
UGCAGAGGUCUCAAGCGUUGUUCGGAUUUAUUGGGCGUAAAGCGUGCGUAGGCGGCGGGGUAAGUGAGGUGUGAAAUCCCGGAGCUUAACUCCGGAACUGCACUUUAUACUGCCUUGCUCGAGGGCUGGAGAGGAGACUGGAAUUUACGGUGUAGCAGUGAAAUGCGUAGAGAUCGUAAGGAAGACCAGUGGCGAAGGCGAGUCUCUGGAAAGCUGCUGACGCUGAGGCACGAAGGCCAGGGGAGCAAACGGG